rnacentral:rRNA from 1 species
AUUGAACGCUGGCGGCAGGCCUAACACAUGCAAGUCGAACGAGUGGCGGACGGGUGAGUAAUGUCUGGGAAACUGCCUGAUGGAGGGGGAUAACUACUGGAAACGGUAGCUAAUACCGCAUACCAUCGGAUGUGCCCAGAUGGGAUUAGCUAGUAGGUGGGGUAAAGGCUCACCUAGGCGACGAUCCCUAGCUGGUCUGAGAGGAUGACCGGCCACACUGGGACUGGAAAACGGUCCAAACUCCGACGGGAGGCAGCAGUGGGGAAUAUUGCACAAAGGGCGGAAGCCUGAUGCAGCCAUUCCGCGUGGAGGAAGAAAGCCUUCGGGUUGUAAAGUACUUUCAGCGGGGAGGCGUUACCCGCAGAAGAAGCACCGGCUAACUCCGUGCCAGCAGCCGCGGUAAUUC